CUCUGUCCAGCUGCGACCCAAUGGGAGUCCCCGCCAGGAGACACAACCGGCGGCUCUCCGGGGAUUUAUAAGGUCCCGCCAGCAACCGCGCGUUGGGAUUCGUGGUGUUGCUGGAGACCCGUAUGGUGUCUGCAGUCAGCGACCCUCCAACUUCAACUACUGGAUCAACCAUGUGUGAGUGCAUCUCCAUCCAUGUGGGCCAGGCCGGAGUGCAGAUGGGCAAUGCCUGCUGGGAGCUGUACUGCCUGGAGCACGACAUCCAGCCCAGUGGCACCAUGCCCAGCCACAAGGCCCUGGGGAGCAGUGAUAACUCCUUCAACACCUUCUUCAGGGAGACCCAGCCUGGCAGGCAUGUGUCCUGGGCUGUCUGUGGACCUGGAGCCUGCUGUCAUAGCACAAUGAAGUCGCUGUAGAGGGAAGGGACCACUGAAGGUGCCACCUGCUCUCCCCGUCUCAAGCCCAGGCAGGACCUGGCCUUAGAAGUGGGUCUCUGGUCGGGAGGCUGAGGCAGGAGAAUCGCUUGAACCCGGGAGACAGAGGCUGUGGUGAGCCAAGAUCGCGUGAUUGCACUCCAGCCUGGGCAACAAGAGUGAAACUCUGUCUCAAAAAAAAAAAAAGAAAGAAAAGAAAAAGAAGAUGCCGUGCAUCAUCACUCUGUUGAGCAGUUGUACCUGGGGAGGCUUAGCAGCAAAGGUUCUGGUGUCUGGCGUUCCCUUGGGGAAUGAACCAGCUUGUCUUACCUUUGUCCUUUCUUCCCCUCAAGAUGGGGUAAGAACUGACAUUUAUAGGCAGCUGUUCCACCCUGAACAGCUGAUAUCUGGCGUGGAAGAUGCUGCCAACAACUGUGCCCGUGGCCACUACACUGCGGGGAAGGAGAUCAUCGAUUUGGUGCUGGAGUGAAUCUGAAAACUGGUGAGCAGGCCUCUGGCACCUACAGGAGGUCGUUGCAUCCUUAACCCUCUUCCUGGCUGGGAGGCAACCACAGCCUGUGCUGGUACCUGACAUCAUUCCUCCAGCCUGUCAGUCCACUCAGCUUCUCUUAAGGGGAUAUGUGUUUUCUGUCCUGGGUACGGAUCUAGGGUUGGAAGCCUGAAUAAACUGCUCUGCCUUGA
rnacentral:lncRNA from 1 species